GACGAACGCUGGCGGCGUGCCUAAUACAUGCAAGUAGAACGCUGAAGAGAGGAGCUUGCUCUUCUUGGAUGAGUUGCGAACGGGUGAGUAACGCGUAGGUAACCUGCCUGGUAGCGGGGGAUAACUAUUGGAAACGAUAGCUAAUACCGCAUAAAAUUGAUUAUUGCAUGAUAAUUAAUUGAAAGAUGCAACUGCAUCACUACCAGAUGGACCUGCGUUGUAUUAGCUAGUUGGUGAGGUAACGGCUCACCAAGGCGACGAUACAUAGCCGACCUGAGAGGGUGAUCGGCCACACUGGGACUGGGACACGGCCCAGACUCCUACGGGAGGCAGCAGUAGGGAAUCUUCGGCAAUGGGGGGAACCCUGACCGAGCAACGCCGCGUGAGUGAAGAAGGUUUUCGGAUCGUAAAGCUCUGUUGUAAGAGAAGAACGGGUGUGAGAGUGGAAAGUUCACACUGUGACGGUAUCUUACCAGAAAGGGACGGCUAACUACGUG
rnacentral:rRNA from 1 species